rnacentral:rRNA from 1 species
AUGAAUGAGCAUGAGGUGGCAAAGAAGAUCCAUGAUAUCCUCAUCCAGAAAAGAUACUUGCUAGUUCUCGAUGAUGUGUGGGAAACAGACACAUGGGAGCAAAUAAAUAGAAAAAUUAAGGCAUGUCCGGAUGCAGAUAACCGUAGUAGAGUGCUGUUAACUACAAGAAAAGAAGAUGUUGCGAAUCAUGUUGAAAUGCCAACCCAUGUUCAUGCUUUGAGGUGUUUAGAUGAAGAGAAAAGUUGGAUACUAUUUAGUAGCAAAGCUUUACCGUCAUACAAAAGGUCGAGCAUACAAGAUCUGCAUAAGUUUGAAAAACUAGGGAUAAAGCUCACAAGGAAAUGUGAUGGAUUACCACUUGCACUUGCUGUUCUAGGGGGUUAUCUGUCAAAGAAUCUCAGCAUACAACCAUGGUCUGGUGUACUAUUGAGUUGGCCAUCAAUCAAAGACACACAAAUGAUGUGUAGCAUUAUCGCUCGCAGUUACAAGGACUUAACAAAUCAUUAUUUAAGAUCUUGUUUUCUCUAUCUCGCCGCUUUUCCUGAGGAUUUCAUAAUAUCGGUGUUGGAUCUUAUGAAUUUAUGGAUAGCAGAGAGCUUCAUUCCACAUACACGAAAUCAUACAGUAGAAGAAACAACACGUAAGUAUGUAACUGAGUUGGCUCAAAGAAGCUUGGUGCAGGUUGUCGAAAUAAGCAGUAUACAUGGAUGGAUUGAGAAAAUAAAGAUUCAUGAUAUCCUACAUGACUGGUGCAUAGAAGAAGCAAUGCAAGACGGUUUCGUUGCUGCCAUCGACAAAACUAGCACAGGACAAGUUGGUGCAUUGCCAUCUCAUACCCUGAUAUCCUACCGUUCUUCUUUUCAAAACUUGAGUGGCCAGAUUUUACAGGCAUCACCUAAUCUUCGAGCUUUGCUUGGCUUUGGACUUUCAUUGGUAUCUUUCCCCGAGCUAAGAUUCCUAAGAGUUCUUCAUGUUGAGAACUCGAGCCUGCAGGAUUUCUCCAAGUUAAUUGGUGGGUGUAUUCACCUACGACAUCUCAUGUUGAGAGGAUGUACAAAUGUGAAAAUCACAUCUUCAAUCCGGAAACUCCUGAAUUUGCAAACAAUAGUUGUAACAAAGUCCCAUCGGUAUUGUCAACGAGAAGUAUCAAACUCCCUCUGGGAUAUACCUACUCUUAGGUAUGUUGAUAUUCCUGAAAUUUCUCUGCCAAGGAAUGAGCAAAUUCUACAAACCCUGCGGAAGCUUCAUAUACAGCCUUCUCAAGAUGAAAAAAAUAAAGACCCGAUGCCGAUCUUGGGGAUGCUUCCUUGUCUUGUGGUGUUGGGGUUGUUUGGUUAUAGACCCGAAACAAUGUCCUUUGGUGCGCAAGGCUUCCCCAGUCUGAAAGAGUUAAUCCUUAAGAGUUGUUCCAUGCAGAAGUUGAGGAUGGAGGUUCGAACAAUGCCAGAGCUAUUUUGCCUGUCAUUUUCACGGUGUUGGCUAGAGGAUGGAAUUCCCAAUGGAUUACUAAACCUUCCAUCCCUCAGGUUCGUAUCACUGCGUAGUAUGCACGUAGAUUGUUCGAAUGACAUCACACUGGAAGGGUUGAGGCAGGAAGGAUGUGAGGUCAUACGAAGUGGCAUAAUCUUCAAACAACAAAGCUGA